rnacentral:rRNA from 1 species
UACGUAGGGUGCGAGCGUUGUCCGGAAUUAUUGGGCGUAAAGAGCUUGUAGGCGGUUUGUCGCGUCUGCUGUGAAAAUCCGAGGCUCAACCUCGGACUUGCAGUGGGUACGGGCAGACUAGAGUGUGGUAGGGGAGACUGGAAUUCCUGGUGUAGCGGUGGAAUGCGCAGAUAUCAGGAGGAACACCGGUGGCGAAGGCGGGUCUCUGGGCCGAUACUGACGCUGAGGAGCGAAAGCGUGGGGAGCGAACAGG